rnacentral:rRNA from 1 species
CCGGGACCAUCCGGUAAGGCUAAAUACUCCCGAGAGACCGAUAGCGAACCAGUACCGUGAGGGAAAGGUGAAAAGCACUUCGAACAGAAGAGUGAAAUAGUUCCUGAAACCGUGCGCCUACAAGCGGUCGGAGCUCGUUAAUGAGUGACGGCGUGCCUUUUGCAUAAUGAACCUACGAGUUGCCUUUGCCGGCAAGGUUAAGUGUGACGACACACGUAUCCGAAGCGAAAGCGAGUCUGAAUAGGGCGUAUAGUCGGCAGUGGCAGACGCGAAACCAAGUGAUCUACCCUUGGCCAGGUUGAAGGCUGGGUAACACCAGCUGGAGGACCGCACCAAUAAGCGUUGAAAAGCUUCUGGAUGAGCUGAGGGUAGGGGUGAAAGGCUAAUCAAACUUGGAGAUAGCUCGUACUCCCCGAAAUGCAUUUAGGUGCAGCCUUGAGAGUUACUAAUGUGAGGUAGAGCGACUGAUAAGAUGCGAGGGCUUCACCGCCUAUCAAGUCUUGACAAACUCCGAAUGCGCAUCAGUUCUACCGCAGGAGUGAGGGCAUGGGUGCUAAGGUCCGUGCCCGAGAGGAGAAGAAUCCGGACCACCUGCUAAGGUCCCGAAAUGACAGCUAAGUUAAACUAACGAAGUCUGACUGCUAAGACAGCUAGGAUGUUGGCUUGGAAGCAGCCAUUCAUUUAAAGAGUGCGUAACAGCUCACUAGUCGAGGAGUCGGGCGUGGAUAAUAAUCGGGUAUCAAGUUGUCUACCGAAGCAGUGGGAUCAUUGAUAUGAUCGGUAGGGGAGCAUUCCAGUCAGCGUCGAAGGCGUACCGUGAGGUAUUCUGGAGCGUCUGGAAAAGCAAAUGUAGGUAUAAGUAACGAUAAAGGGGGCGGGAAACCCCCUCGCCGAAAGACUAAGGUUUCCUGAUCAACGCUAAUCGGAUCAGGGUCAGUCGGGUCCUAAGGCUCAGCCGAACGGCGAUGCCGAUGGCAGAAACGGUUAAUAUUCCGUUACUACCUUCAGGAGUGACGUGGAGACGCAGUAGUGACAGUGCCGCCAUCUGACGGAAUAGAUGGUUGAAGGGUGUAGGAGUCGAUCAUGGCAGGCAAAUCCACCAUGAGAUCCGAACCUGAUAGUAUGCCGCGUCCUUCGGGACAAGGCAAUAGUGCGCGUAAGCAUGCUGCCGAGAAAAUCCGCUAAACUUAAUCCUGCAGGUACCCGUACCGCAAACGGACACACGUAGUCGGGUUGAAUAUACUAAGGCGCUUGAGUGAUUCACGGUUAAGGAACUAGGCAAACUGACCCUGUAACUUCGGGAUAAAGGGUCCCUACCCUUUUAUGGGAGGGCGCAGAGAAUCGGUCCAGGCAACUGUUUAACAAAAACACAGGGCUGUGCCAAAUCGAAAGAUCCAGUAUACAGCCUGACACCUGCCCGGUGCUGGAAGGUUAAGAGGAGAUGUCAUCGAUAAGAGAAGCGUUGAAUUGAAGCCCCAGUAAACGGCGGCCGUAACUAUAACGGUCCUAAGGUAGCGAAAUUCCUUGUCGGGUAAGUUCCGACCUGCACGAAUGGUGUAAUGAUCUGGACACUGUCUCAACCGUGAGCUCAGUGAAAUUGUAGUAUCGGUGAAGAUGCCGAUUACCCGCGAUGGGACGAAAAGACCCCGUGAACCUUUACUAUAGCUUAUCAUUGAAUCUGGGCACGUGAUGUGUAGGAUAGGUCGGAGGCUUUGAAGCAGGUACGCCAGUAUUUGUGGAGCCGCUGUUGAAAUACGACCCUUUAUUUGUUUGGAUUCUAACCCGUGGAACGGGGACAUUGAUUGGUGGGUAGUUUGACUGGGGUGGUCGCCUCCAAAAGCGUAACGGAGGCUUCUAAAGGUGCCCUCACGCCGAUUGGUAACCGGCGGUAGAGUGUAAUGGCAUAAGGGCGCUUGACUGGGAGACUUACAAGUCGAUCAGGUAGGAAACUAGAGCAUAGUGAUCCGGUGUUUCCGUAUGGAAGGGACAUCGCUCAAAGGAUAAAAGGUACUCCGGGGAUAACAGGCUGAUC